AUUUGUUGCAUUUGGUGUUUAUGACGUCGAUAUUCGACGUCAUAAACACCAAAGUUGACCGUGUUUAUGACGCCGAAUAUCGACGUCUUAAAAACACCAAAGUUGAUCGUGUUUAUGACGUCGAAUAUCGACGUCAUAAACACCAAAGUUG
rnacentral:miRNA from 1 species